UACGAAGGGGGCUAGCGUUGCUCGGAUUGACUGGGCGUAAAGCGCGCGUAGGCGGCUUUGUCAGUUAGAGGUGAAAGCCCAGGGCUCAACCCUGGAAUUGCCUUUAAGACUGCAUCGCUUGAACAUCGGAGAGGUAAGUGGAAUUCCGAGUGUAGAGGUGAAAUUCGUAGAUAUUCGGAAGAACACCAGUGGCGAAGGCGACUUACUGGACGAUUGUUGACGCUGAGGUGCGAAAGCGUGGGGAGCAAACAGG
rnacentral:rRNA from 1 species